rnacentral:misc_RNA from 1 species
GUUAUUAAUAAAAUAAAUUUUAACAAAACUUUCUGGUUGGUACAAUACAUCCAUCAAGGAUAUUACAGAGGGCCAAGGAAAAACAAAUUAAGAGACACACUCCCUUUGUCCCUCCUCAUUCUCUUGGUCAUUCACCAUGAUUAUAACUACCUUUAAGAGUAUUUAUCUCCCUCUUGAAUGCUUUAAAAAGAUCAAUGCCAAGACCAGCAUUGAGCAAAUUCAUACCAGCCAUCCCAAACAGAGCCAGUGGCAACUGCACACCCUUUUCAAACUUGGGAGCAUCUCUGAUUAGCUUGAUGGUGAUGAGAAU